CUUUUGCGUCACACAUGCACACUGUAAUAUGUGUCGGAAGAUGUGAUGUUUUUAUGCCUGUUUUAUGUGCGGUGAAGAAAUGAUGUUGAUUAAAUGUGUUGGUGUGAUGAAAUAGGAAUGGAUUUCUGUGAUUGUUUGUUUAAUUUCUUUGAUUAUUUACUGAUCUGAAUAACUGUGUCCGCAAAUGGUUUGGUCCUAAUGGUUUAACUGAAUUUGAUUUGAUCUAUCCAUUGCUGCUAAAUUUGCGUGUUUUGAUGUUAAUUUUGGAGUAUUCUUAGAUCUAUUAGUGUUUAGAGGAGUCUAGCCUUGGAUCUGGAUUUCUGUUGGUUUAGAUUCAAUUUAAACUCGCGAGUAAUAAAUUUUUGAUCUCAUUACUUGCAAUUGGACGGUGGUAUCUGGAUCUGUUGCAAAAAUUUUGUAAUUAGGUGAUGCGAAUUAGUAAAUCUGAUAUGCUUUGUUCUUAUAGAUAUGAAAUGCUCUGUUCUAAAAGUUUUGAUCUUUCAAAAAGAAUUAUCAAAAGCUGCAUUUGGUUUAAGUUUUUAAUUUUCUAUGAUUCUUUAUACAUGAUCCAUGCGUUAGAUCUACUUUGAAGCUUAGAGUUGGAUUUUGAGAAGGGUGAUUACAAGAUACGUUGAUUUUGGUAAUCUAUGCGAUCAAAUGCUGGGUAAUGGGAGGAAGCAUAAUCUUUUGGUCGAGUUGAUUUAGCUGAUCUUUCUGAAUGUAACUAAAUAUGUAUGCCUGUAAAUCUCUUACUGUAUUUUAUGCUUUAAAUUGCAUAAAAUUGUUUUCAUCCGUUAGCAAAACUCUCUUUCUCGUAGAAAAAGAAUCUAAAUUUUCAUUUAAUUGAUAUUUUCAUAAGUAACUAACUUCAUUUCUGAUCAGGGUUUACUUUCUAGAAUGUUACUGAAAUUAUCUUAGUUGACCUCAAAUUUAUUAGGAAUAAGACUUGGUUUGUUGUUAGUGAAAGUUCCGUGAUCUUGUUAUGAGGAUAUCAUAUGUUACAUUUCUCGCCAGGAAAUAUAAGCAUAUCUUUUGUAAUACAGGUAUUAAGCCUUUCGUGCUAGGGCUUAAGAGUAUGGACC
rnacentral:lncRNA from 1 species